GAUGAAGAACGUAGCGAAAUGCGAUAAGUAAUGUGAAUUGCAGAAUUCAGUGAAUCAUCGAAUCUUUGAACGCACAUUGCGCCCCCUGGUAUUCCGGGGGGCAUGCCUGUUCGAGCGUCAUUUCACCACUCAAGCCUCGCUUGGUAUUGGGCAACGCGGUCCGCCACGUGCCUCAAAUCGACCGGCUGGGUCUUCUGUCCCCUAAGCGUUGUGGAAACUAUUCGCUAAAGGGUGUUCGGGAGGCUACGCCGUAAAACAACCCCAUUUCUAAGGUUGACCUCGGAUCAGGUAGGGAUACCCGCUGAACUUAAGCAUAUCAAUAAGCGGAGGA
rnacentral:misc_RNA from 1 species